ACCAAAAUUCUUCCGGAGAUUUACAGACAAUAAAAAGUUGCCCUGCAGAGAAAUGUAAGAGUUUACAUUCAAUUUGAGGAAGGAAAAUCUGCUUUAGAAAAUAUUUCAGGGAAGAAAAGGAUUUUAGAAAAAAAUUCUGCGCAUGGAACUUGUCGGGAUAAUUGAGAGGGCUAUAGAAGAUCCAUUAGCAAAGGACACCAGAGAAACAGAGGAGAAUUAGAUGUGUGUUGCAAGAAAUGAUUUUUUUUUUGCUUGAUCUACAAAUUCUAUACAUCAGUUUUAAUUUUCUAUUCAAAUGUCUUUGAGCAUAAAAAAAAAUAUCGCUGAAUUCUAUCAUUCCAAAAACUAGUUGAAUCCAUGUCCAUUCAAAGUAGAUCACAACUCUUUCCCUUUUAAUUUCCAGAAACUUUACAAGGGCAUUCUAAAUAUCCACCAUUUUAUCUACAAUCUACCUUUUAUUUUAACAGAAUACUGUAUUACAAGUAUUAAGCAAAAGAAAUGAGGAAUGUUCAAACACCAGUUCAUUAGUUAGACAAGGUCUGUUAGAAAACUACUUUAUAUUUUCUGCUUUCGAUUCUGUAAGCACUAACAAUAUUUUGUUUGGGCAGCUAUUUAAUAAUGAAAAGGCAAGUAUAUUCUCAUAUGCCAUGCAGUUCUCUAUCGUAGCGUUUGGUCAUGUGGCUUGAGCUUAAUUUUUAUUGAUGGAGCUGGUGGGUGGCAGAGAGAGAGAUGGCACUGCAGUAGUGGAAGGAAGACAGCAUUCAGAGUAUUGAAACCCCUGCAGCUGAACCUCACAAUGAGAUCAGAAACAGAGCUGUGAACAUUGCUUGGCAUUAAUGUAGCCAAUGUGUCUUGCUGUGGCCUGAUGAAACUUUAUUAAAUUUUGGCAUGCUCUCAGACUCUUCCAUCUCAGAAUGAAGCUGCUUUGAGCCAAGUUUACAUUCUUCAUGAAAGGUCUGUACAGCCCUCAUUCUAAAAUCUGUUAAGAAAAGAUGGAUAACAACCACUGUCCCCCUUCUGAUGUUACAUGGACAAGCUACAUACUAGUGUUGCAUAUGUUUUCUGUGCUUUGUUUUUCUUUGCAAGUCUGGUGCUGUUUAGCAAACUGCUGGGAAAUGUGAUAACACUGAGGAAGCCAGGGCUCCUUGAAAUCUUCUGAGUAUUUGUCUGGUUCCCAGGUUGCUUGCUAGGAAGAAGGAUACCAGCUCUUCGAAAGGAUAGAGUGGGAUCUCUGUAGUCCUUUAGCUGUGUAUUUCCAACCCUUACUUUGCCAUAAAUCAUAGGGACAUCUGUGCCAAAGAGUGGUGUACAUCUGUAAAUAAAUCAGUGAUGUCAUAUGACUCUUGUGAGUAUGUAUAAAUCUACCACAUGUUCCUUCAAUUUGGGGAAAUGCAGACAAUUAUAAUGGACUUGCAGACAAAAUCCUACUAUUUACUGAAAAGGACCUGUACUGAAAGACUUGUACCUUAAUUAAGCAGAGUAUAAUUUGGGAGAUGUGCUGCUUGUGGUUGAAGACUGGAAUGCCACAGCUGAAAAUAGUAAGAAUUAAAAUGUACUGUAGAUGGAUUGUAUGCCUAUGAAACAAAUAAAGCAAGAGAACAACU